UACGUAGGGUGCAAGCGUUAUCCGGAAUGAUUGGGCGUAAAGCGUCCGCAGGUGGCAAUGUAAGUCUGCUGUUAAAGAGUCUAGCUCAACUAGAUAAAAGCAGUGGAAACUACAUAGCUAGAGUACGUUCGGGGCAGAGGGAAUUCCUGGUGUAGCGGUGAAAUGCGUAGAGAUCAGGAAGAACACCAGUGGCGAAGGCGCUCUGCUAGGCCGUAACUGACACUGAGGGACGAAAGCUAGGGGAGCGAAUGGG
rnacentral:rRNA from 1 species